AGAGCCUGUAAAUUUAAUAAAAUUGUCACAUUAACAUUUCAUAUACUUCACAGCCUCCCAUCUCCACAAAUGGCACAGUUCACACCAGCAGACAGUAUCUCCAGUUGGUUUGAGGGCUUAUGAAAGUUUUCCAUGUGCUAACACCAUCAGCAGGCUAGAAAGCAGGCCGGCUCUCUGAAGACCCUCACACACAGAUGGGCCGAGACUCCUGCUUUCAGCAUGAAGCCCUGGGAGGUUCUGCUCAGGAUCCUCUACUAACAGAUAAGAACAUUCUUCAAUCAGUUCCUUCAAAAUUUCAGAGUUUUACUGAACUAUUUAAAGUUUCCUCAAAUGUACUAAAUUCUGACAGUAUGUCUAUGUCACCAUUCCUUCCUCUCCACCCUUUCAUUUUAUUAUUUUUCAGUGUUUCCAUAUUUAUUAUUUCUUUCUUUCCUCCUAUUCAGUGAUUUCAUCUCACUACUAAGCCUACCUGAAAGGGCUUUAGUUAGAAUAAGGUACAAGACCAUCAGUCUAAAAGCAAAUAGAAUGUUUUGCUCAUGCUAGUCUUCCAGAGAAAAGUAUUCCUCUUUCACUGAAGACAGUUUAACUUUGUAAUAUAAAAAUCAGCUCUGCAAACCAAACUGACAGUGACAGUGUGCAUUUUAUCUGGCAGUAAGCAACACCCCUCUUUUGUUUGAUUCUAAUGAGUCAUUUUCCAUUUCAAAAUCUUUUUUUAAAAGCCACGUACGGAAAAGUUAGUAAUAACUUCACAGUCAGCCUUCCACUUUGUUUACUUUCAAAUCAUAAAGCUUGUGAGAAGACUCUGUAAAAAAGCUUCACAGUUGCAGUCUCCAUUUUCUAUCUAGGACAACUGUUCAUCAAAAUACUAGACAUUAACUUUACCUCUGAACAACUUUCAAUGGCUCCCUGCCAAUCCGACAGUUUUAGUUUACAAGCGCCAAUGUUUAGAAUGCAGGUCAGAGCAACAGUUUUUAGCUUUGGUUUGUCUGCCUCCUCUGCCAGUGCUUCAGAAGCUUCUACAUACCUGCAGAAAAACAGAUUUACAAAGCACAUGUAUUAAUGUUGCAACUCCCAUUUUGUUUGGCCCUUAGCCAUCUUUCUACAGGUAUGUGCAAACUGGCCUAUCCAAAGUGGUUAUUUUUUAAGCAGUUUCAAUUCCACUAUUACAAGUAUCUAUUAAACUAAAUAUACAAGACCUAUCCUGACAAGAAAGAUUAACUCCCUGGUGGUGAACGUUUUCCUGUAACUCCUAGUCCUCCACUGUACUAACAGCAUUCUUUUUCUUAGACAAAUGCACUAUUUAGAUGGCAUGAAACCAUUAGGAUUUCUCUCAGUGAUUGUUUAUUCCCAAAAACAUGUUCUCAUUAGUGGCAAAAAGUCAGCACUACCACUGCACCUUCCAUGUUCAUGGGAAGCUUCACCUCUUCUUCAGCUCCCUCAGCAAUAUUUUAAUUGGUGUAGGAAUCUAUGGCUAAAAUCAGAAGCUAACUUUAUCUUGUAAAGGAGGGUGGUUUACGAGCAUUAAUAACUCCACCUUCUUUCCACUGUCUUCACAACCUUUUUCUUGAACUUCAAAACUGACACUAGUUCAGGACUAAGCCACAUCAUUUAGAGCAUCUGUUUCAUAGGAAAACUGGUAGGCAAACUGUAACUCAUUCUUCUUGAAUUAUGGUGUGCUAAUGCUGUCAGUUUUUAUGUCAAGUUGCAUACAUUCACAUUUUGAGCAUGCCAUGUUUAAUGCUGUCUUUGCAGAUCAGUGCCUAUGUAAGUUCUAUUUUUGCAUGCCCUAUGACUGUUGCAUGGUAUGUAUGCAACUUUGGAUCACAGAAAUAAGCAAUACUUAAAAAAGAUGAGAACCAGCAGAGAGAUAAAAGGGCAAAAAGCUAAGGAGAGUUAUGUUUGAAAUGAACAUCUCUACUAUUUAUAAAUCAUACCAAAACAUGAAAGACAACAAGAAGUAAUAUGGUGGGUUUUUUUUUUUAAAAGUGUCAAUUCUUACAUAUAAAAUAAAUAAAUAAAAAUGUUUAAGCACCAGUAGGAGAGGAAAAAGAACAUAAAAGUUAUAAUGGUUACUGUUGGUAAAAAGAAAAAAAACAA